UCCCAGUUCGGAUUGUAGUCUGCAACCCGACUACAUGAAGCCGGAAUCGCUAGUAAUCGCGGAUCAGAAUGCCGCGGUGAAUACGUUCCCGGGUCUUGUACACACCGCCCGUCACACCAUGGGAGUUGGAAAUGCCCGAAGUCAGUGGCCCAACCGUAAGGAGGGAGCUGCCGAAGGCGGGACUGGUAACUGGGGUGAAGUCGUAACAAGGUAAC
rnacentral:rRNA from 1 species